rnacentral:rRNA from 1 species
UACGUAGGGUGCAAGCGUUUAAUCGGAAUUACUGGGCGUAAAGCGUGCGCAGGCGGCUAUGCAAGACAGAUGUGAAAUCCCCGGGCUUAACCUGGGAACUGCAUUUGUGACUGCAUGGCUAGAGUACGGUAGAGGGGGAUGGAAUUCCGCGUGUAGCAGUGAAAUGCGUAGAUAUGCGGAGGAACACCGGUGGCGAAGGCGGCAUCCUGGACCGGGCAUUGACGCUGAGGCGCGAAAGCCAGGGGAGCAAACGGG